GACGAACCGUGCGAACGUUGUUCGGAAUCACUGGGUUUAAAGGGCGCGUAGGCGGGCUGUCAAGUCGGUGGUGAAAUCGUUCCGCUCAACGGGACAAUGGCCUUCGAUACUGGCGGUCUGGAGGGAGGUAGGGGCAUGCGGAACUUCCGGUGGAGCGGUGAAAUGCGUAGAUAUCGGAAGGAACACCGAUGGCGAAAGCAGCGUGCUGGACCUUUCUGACGCUGAGGUCGCGAAAGCCAGGGGAGCAAACGGG
rnacentral:rRNA from 1 species